CGGCUCGUCGAGAAGAAUGAGUUUCGGCUCCAGCGCCAUGGCGCGCGCCAGUUCAACGCGCUUGCGCAGGCCGUAGGGGAGGGUGCCGGCGGGCGCCCUGCGCACCGACUGGAGGGCGAGGGAGUCGGUGAUCUCNNNGCGAUGUUCGAGUUCCUCGCGCCGCGCGCCGGUCAGCCAGUACAGCGAUCCGGUGAUGAAAUUGUUUUUCAGCAGGUGAUGCCGCCCGACCAUGAUGUUGUCGAGCACGGUCAUGUG
rnacentral:misc_RNA from 1 species